rnacentral:rRNA from 1 species
UACGGGGGGAGCAAGCGUUGUUCGGAUUUACUGGGCGUAAAGGGCGCGUAGGCGGUCAGCACAAGUCAGUUGUGAAAUCUCCGGGCUUAACUCGGAAAGGUCAACUGAUACUGUGCGACUAGAGUGCAGAAGGGGCAACUGGAAUUCUCGGUGUAGCGGUGAAAUGCGUAGAUAUCGAGAGGAACACCUGCGGCGAAGGCGGGUUGCUGGGCUGACACUGACGCUGAUGCGCGAAAGCCAGGGGAGCAAAUGGG